rnacentral:rRNA from 1 species
CCUACGGGUGGCAGCAGUGAGGAAUAUUGGUCAAUGGGCGGAAGCCUGAACCAGCCAAGUCGCGUGAGGGAUUAAGGCUCUAUGGGUCGUAAACCUCUUUUGUCAGGGAGCAAUGGCGUCCACGUGUGGGCGUAUGGAGAGUACCUGAAGAAAAAGCAUCGGCUAACUCCGUGCCAGCAGCCGCGAUAAUACGGAGGAUGCGAGCGUUAUCCGGAUUUAUUGGGUGUAAAGGGCGUGUAGGCGGGCAUGCAAGCCAGAAGUGAAAUCUGGGGGCUUAACCCCCAAACUGCUUUUGGAACUGCGUGUCUUGAGUGAUGGAGAGGCAGGCGGAAUUCCCGGUGUAGCGGUGAAAUGCGUAGAUAUUGGGAGGAACACCAGUGGCGAAGGCGGCCUGCUGGACAUUAACUGACGCUGAGGCGCGAAAGCGUGGGGAGCAAACAGGAUUAGAUACCCGAGUAGUC